rnacentral:rRNA from 1 species
UACGGGGGGAGCAAGCGUUGUUCGGAUUUACUGGGCGUAAAGGGCGCGUAGGCGGCCUCCGCAAGUCAGUUGUGAAAUCUCCGAGCUUAACUCGGAACGGUCAGAUGAUACUGCUUUGCUAGAGUGCAGAAGGGGCAACCGGGAAUUCUUGGUGUAGCGGUGAAAUGCGUAGAUAUCAAGAGGAACACCGGAGGUGAAGACGGGUUGCUGGGCCGAUACUGACGCUGAGGAGCGAAAGCGUGGGGAGCGAACAGG